rnacentral:lncRNA from 1 species
UAAAGUCUGUUUAUGGGUUGGACAAUUGAAAUUGUGUCAGUUAAGAGUUAUUUAGCCACGAUAAUAGUUUUGCUACCUUUAUAUUUUCCCAUUGAAAAAGUUAAGAAUGAGAUGUUCUUGAGUAAAAAAAAUAAUUGAAACUGAAUACGGUGCAACAGUAUCCUUCUAGUAAGAGCAUUUUUAUUUUGACUUUCUUUGCAAUUUAUGGAAGGAUGUGUCUAUGGAUUGGCCGCUGGAAUAUGCAUGCAUUAUUAUUAACGUUUUCAAUCAGCCU